rnacentral:rRNA from 1 species
GUCUACGGCCAUGUCAUCCCAAACAAGCCCAAACAAGCCCGAUCCCUUCCGAUCUGGGAAGCUAAGCAGGGUAGGGCCUGGUUAGUACUUGGAUGGGGGACCAGCUAGGAAGACCAGGCGCUGUAGGCU